rnacentral:rRNA from 1 species
GUGAGGAAUAUUGCGCAAUGGAGGCAACUCUGACGCAGCCAUGCCGCGUGCAGGAAGAAGGCGCUACGCGUUGUAAACUGCUUUUAACCGGGAAGAAACCCCAGGACGUGUCCUGGGUUGACGGUACCGGAGGAAUAAGCAUCGGCUAACUUCGUGCCAGCAGCCGCGGUAAUACGAAGGGUGCAAGCGUUAUCCGGAUUCAUUGGGUUUAAAGGGUGCGUAGGCGGAGCGUUAAGUCAGUGGUGAAAUCCUGCAGCUUAACUGUAGACUUGCCAUUGAUACUGGCGCUCUUGAGUGCGCUUGAAGUGGGCGGAAUGUGCCGUGUAGCGGUGAAAUGCUUAGAUAUGGCACAGAACACCAAUUGCGAAGGCAGCUCACUAAGGCGAUACUGACGCUGAGGCACGAAAGCGUGGGGAUCGAACAGGAUUAGAAACCCUUGUAGUCC